UGGGGAAUUUUGGACAAUGGGCGAAAGCCUGAUCCAGCAAUGCCGCGUGUGUGAAGAAGGCCUUCGGGUUGUAAAGCACUUUUGUCCGGAAAGAAAUCCUUGGCUCUAAUACAGUCGGGGGAUGACGGUACCGGAAGAAUAAGCACCGGCUAACUACGUGCCAGCAGCCGCGGUAAUACGUAGGGUGCAAGCGUUAAUCGGAAUUACUGGGCGUAAAGCUGCGCAGGCGGUUUGCUAAGACCGAUGUGAAAUCCCCGGGCUCAACCUGGGAACUGCAUUGGUGACUGGCAGGCUAGAGUAUGGCAGAGGGGGGUUAGAAUUCCACGUGUAGCAGUGAAAUGCGUAGAGAUGUGGAGGAAUACCGAUGGCGAAGGCAGCCCCCUGGGCCAAUACUGACGCUCAUGCACGAAAGCGUGGGGAGCAAAC
rnacentral:rRNA from 1 species